rnacentral:rRNA from 1 species
GAUGAACGCUGGCUACAGGCUUAACACAUGCAAGUCGUGGGGAAACGGCAUUAUGUGCUUGCACAUUCUGGACGUCGACCGGCGCACGGGUGAGUAUCGCGUAUCCAACCUGCCCCUUACUUGGGGAUACCCCGUUGAAAGACGGCCUAAUACCCGAUGUGUUUCAUUGACGGCAUCCGAUAUGAAACAAAGGUUUUUCCGGUAAGGGAUGGGGAUGCGUCUGAUUAGCUUGUUGGCGGGGCAACGGCCCACCAAGGCGACGAUCAGUAGGGGUUCUGAGAGGAAGGUCCCCCACAUUGGAACUGAGACACGGUCCAAACUCCUACGGGAGGCAGCAGUGAGGAAUAUUGGUCAAUGGACGCAAGUCUGAACCAGCCAAGUAGCGUGCAGGAUGACGGCCCUAUGGGUUGUAAACUGCUUUUAUGUGGGAAUAAAGUGGCGCACGUGUGCGCCAUUGCAU